CCGCGCCUAACGGUCAGCGUCGGCGGCGGAGUGGUUGUGUUCCGGGCGGUUGGCUCCCAGGAAGUGGCCUUGCGGAGCGCGGACCCCUCCGAAAUCCCCGUUACCUCCUUCGUCCCUGAGAACUUAUUUCGAGGAGUCACCAUCUGCUCAAGACUCCCCACAGACGAGUUAAAGCUAUUCCCCAUCUUGAGACCCUGUCUGGGGUUUCCCUCGCAGCAGUGGAGCCAUUUCCAAGUCCAACUGCGGGAAUAAUUGAUUUAUCGUUCCUGAAAAAAAGAAAGCGAUAGUCUGAAUAGAGUGGUCUGACGUCUAAAGCUAACCAAACAGAUCGGAAUCUAUUCACUGAUGCUCAGAAUGCUGCUUUAACGCUGGCCUGGGGAGCAGAAAUUACCAUUGUCCCAUUUUAGCUGUUUAUGGCAUUCAGCCUAAAAUUUUACAGUAUUUUGUUAAGUUUGAGCCAGAUGCUUAUGGCAUAUUAAGCAUUAAUAGUACGAGUUGUAUUUUCAGCAGUUUGGUGGAAAUCGUAACUACGAGACCAUAUUUCACAGGGCCCUAGAUCUAAUCAGUUUGAUCUGAGGGCGGUAGACCUGAUCAAUCCUCCUGGCCCAUUUGGGUUUAACUACCACCUGGUCCUGGACACAGUCAUCAGCUACAGACACCCUGUCCAAUCAGUAUUUAACGAACACUCCACAUCAUUGCUUGACCAUCAUUUGGCAAUCUUCGUGGUGAUCAAAUAUCAAAAAGUGAUCCAGUGCAAGCAACUCAAAACCAAAGGAACAAGGUGCUGAAUAGACUGUGUGGAAUCUUCAGCCACUUUUGUGAGGAAGUGCAUCCCUAUAGGAGUGUGUGUCAGUUGCCUUAAAGAGUACAGGUAAGUAUUGCUUUCUUUGGACCAGCAGGUUUAGAGAGUUGAUCUCUGCAAAUCAAGGAGCUCUAAUACCAAGGAGUAAAAAGCUUUAGGAAAGUAUCUCGACUUUAAAUUCUUGGUCAUGUUAUUUGAGGUAGAGGAUUCUCAACUUUUGUUGGUCAGCUUUAGGAAAAGAUGAGCGGUGAUUCUAGUAACUUAUUUUAUGCUACAUCUCAUUAUUUCAUUGGCAAGACCAAGUGAAUGGCUGAGAGCAAAUCAACACUAUGGCUUGUGUCUGAUCUGGUUAUGAGCUUAUCUGAAGAACAUGAAAAUAUUGUGACAUUAUGAAGUGACAUUUAAAUAAGUUUUGAUUUUUACAAAUGCUAAAUAUGCAUUGCUCAAGCUGGAUAGGGGAGUAAAAAAAACCCCGUUCCAUCAGUCUGUGAACAUUACCAAAUAAGUUUGCACAUUCAGAACAGAUUCUGGAGAUUAUUUGAGAGAGAUUUCUCGAGGCAAAUGUUUGUUUAACAAAUGUGACAUUUUUAUUUCCUUUAAUAACAACAAAAAAUCUGAACCAUUCAGUGAUGUAAGAUCUCAUCUUUAUCUUAAACUAAGCUACCAGAUGUUCCCGCUGUGGCUUAGUGGGUUAAGAACCCAACAUAGUGUCUGUGAGGAUGUGGGUU